rnacentral:sRNA from 1 species
AAAUCCCUUGAAGGGGAGUAGCUUUCACAUAUGUGAUAAUCAAUCGUCAUGACGGAUUUUAUCCCGGUUGAUUAGCAAGAUAUAAAACUUGUUAGCAAGACCUUCAGAAAUAUA